GGGGUAAAGGAUAGAUAAUAGACAGUAACAGCAGUAUACUGUAGGUGAGGGUAAAGGAUAGAUAAUAGACAGUAACAGCAAUAUACUGUAGGUGAGGGUAAAGGAUAUAUAAUAGACAGUAACAGCAAUAUACUGUAGGUGAGGGUAAAGG